UAUGGCUAUAUCACUCUUAAACACCGUUUCUCAUACGAUCACUGAAGUUAAGCAACGUCGAACCUGGUCACUAUCUAGAUGGCUGACCGCAUUGGAAUACCAGGUGCCGUAU